ACGUAGGGGGCAAGCGUUGUCCGGAUUUACUGGGCGUAAAGGGUGCGUAGGUGGAUUUUUAAGCGGGAGGUGAAAUCCACUGGCUUAACUUUUGGAAGGCUUGCGAACUGGAAGACUUGAGUGCAGGAGAGGAAAGUGGAAUUCCUAGUGUAGCGGUGAAAUGCGUAGAUAUUAGGAGGAACACCAGUGGCGAAGGCGACUUUCUGGACUGUAACUGACACUGAGGCACGAAAGCGCGGGGAGCAAACAG
rnacentral:rRNA from 1 species